UACGUAGGGUGCAAACGUUGCUCGGAAUCAUUGGGCGUAAAGCGCACGUAGGCGGCCUGAUAAGUCGGGUGUGAAAGCCCUGGGCUCAACCCAGGAAGUGCACUCGAAACUGUCAGGCUUGAAUAUGGAAGAGGGUCGCGGAGUUCCCGGUGUAGAGGUGAAAUUCGUAGAUAUCGGGAGGAACACCAGUGGCGAAGGCGGCGACCUGGGCCAAUAUUGACGCUGAGGUGCGAAAGCGUGGGGAGCAAACAGG
rnacentral:rRNA from 1 species